CUCAUCUGGGGGUUGGCGCCCGGCAUAGACCAGGGACACUGAGCCUCCUGCGAUGACAGCCACACCUGGGCAAGCCCUGGGCUCCCUCCUGCCCACCCUUCUGCUGGGACUCACAGCUGGGCAGGCCUUUAUCACUCUGAUGGGCCCGUCUCAGAGGACGGCCCCUGGGAAUUCGGUGCCUUUCAACUGCACCGCUGGCCCCUUCAGCUCCUGCGAUUUCAAUGUCACUUGGAUGAAGAACAGAGAUGAGUAUCCAGCCUCAGCUCAGCGCCUGCUGACUGACAACAAAGGCAAUUACUCCGUCACCAGUAAGGCCUGGGUGACACUGGCCAGCCAAGAUGUCUCCUCAGAGAUCACCUGUGAAGUCACCCACAGGGAGCUGGCAGAGCCCCUGCGUAAGAGCCUGAACCUCUCCCAAGUGCUCCGAGUUGUCCCCACUGUGACGAUUACCACCAACCCCCCUGCGGGGUACAUCCCUGUGCCUCAGAGAGUGAAUCUCACUUGCCACGCGAGCCACUUCUACCCCUCCCACCUGCACCUCAUCUGGAUGGAAAACGGGCACAAGAUCCAGACCCAGGUGUCCCCCCAGGUCACAAGAAACCCAGACGGGACAUACUCUCUGGAGCACACGUGGCAGACAGAAGCCAAGCUGGCUGGGAGGGACUUUGCCUGCUGGGUACUGCAUGAUGAGCAGCCCGCCAUCUGGACCAACAUCACCCUGCGGGCUCAGGCACCCAGGCUGAAGAAAGGUAGAAGCAUCUACUCUCACGUCUUGCAAGGUCCCCUUCAGCGAUCUGAGCCGGGCACAAGCAUCCAACUGACGUACAUGUCCUCCUGGUUCCCCACACAGCAUGUCACGGUGACAUGGCAUAAAAACAACCACACACUGCUGAAGUCCCAGCCCACUGUCCAUCUCAGUGGAGAUACCUACAAUGUGACAAGCAGUGUGCUCGUCCCACUGCAGGCUGACGAUGUGUUCUCCCAUGUCCUCUGCCACGUCCAGCACAAGGCAACCGUUCUUUCCCAGCAAAUCAUUCGCCUGGACCAGUACCUCCGUGUUCCCCCUGCAGUGACAAUAUCCCAGGCUUUACCUACCUCGGACUUGGUGGCCAUCACCUGCCACGUGCAGAGAUUCUACCCACAGGACAUACAUCUCACCUGGCUGGAGAACUGCCAUAAGUUCAAAGGAGCUGGGCAACCCACGUCCAAGCAGAAUAGUGAUGGGACCUACACCCUGGAAAGCUUGCAGAUGGUGAAUGUGUCAUUGCAGGGGUCUGAGCGGGUGCUCACCUGUAAGGUGCAACAUGAGGCACAGCCUCCCAUCCAGGCCAGCCUCAUACUGUCCACAGAAGCCCAUGCCACCUACAAGCCCAUUGCGAGCCCAGGGCCAGAGAUGCCUGCCCUUGUCUUUGUGGCGUUCCUUUUGGGCUUCAAGGUGCUGUUGCUGAUGAGUUUCACAGUCACGUACAUCUGCAGGUGGUGGAACCUGUAACAGCUCCAGCCUGUCCUGUACUACGUUGCCUCCUGCCCUCUCCAAGGGGCUCAAGUGGAGAGAAGCUGCAAGGACCUGCAGGUUACCCAAGGACCUGCCCUUCACUCUGCCAGCACCACCUCCACCACGGACAUGCUCCUUGCACACACCCUCCUGAUGUUCCUUCUCUCUGAUGAUAAAGCUGAGUCAAGGAUGGACUUUGGUCAUGGGGACUCGGGCACAUUUGGACCCUGUGCAUUGAGCUUCAAACUAGCUCUGCCUCCCACCCAAAAAAGAAUCAGGAAGACAAGACAACAGGUUUCCAUCCUUCCCUGAUCAUGAGCAACCCUUGAUAUUCAGAGCAGAUUUUACCCUAUCCAGUGCUUUUACAAGUAUGAUUUCAUUUUAACAUACACACACACACACACACA